CGGACGGGUGAGUAAUGUCUGGGAAACUGCCUGAUGGAGGGGGAUAGCUACUGGAAACGGUAGCUAAUACCGCAUAACGUCGCAAGACCAAAGAGGGGGACCUUAGGGCCUCUUGCCAUCGGAUGUGCCCAGAUGGGAUUAGCUAGUAGGUGGGGUAACGGCUCACCUAGGCGACGAUCCCUAGCUGGUCUGAGAGGAUGACCAGCCACACUGGAACUGAGACACGGUCCAG
rnacentral:rRNA from 1 species